rnacentral:lncRNA from 1 species
GAAAAGAAACCUAAGAAAGAAAGAAGCUGGGCAAACAUGGCUCCAUGUACCCUGGGUUUUCUCUUACACUGGUCCUGCUUUGAGGAUGAACACACACAAGGGUAAGGCAUGGGAGAGGGCAUGGAGCAACUGUCUAAGUUAUGAUCGAAUAAAAAUGCAGCAUUGCUUAUUCAGGAUCGACAAGUAAAUACAGUGGGAUCAGGAUUACUUCUCGCUGCCAGCAUUUUGAUGAAGAAAGGUAUUCAAAAAUCUGCUUCUAUGGAGGGUGAAUGCUUCCUGCUCGUUGGCUUUGCUGCUGGCUGGUAUAUGAGUAGCACUGGCUGAUGUAACAAACGUACACCAACGUUCCAGUGGCUUCCUACAAGAGUUCUAUUCUUCCUCAUGAAAAAUUUCAGACUACAUUCCUGGUUGUCAGGAAGCUCCCCUCCACAUGAUGACUCAGGGACUCAUUUUGUUCCUCAUGGCUCUGCCCUGUCUUGUGCAUGUUGUUGGUGAAGUUGAUAAAGGAACUUAGAAAGCCAUUUUCUGUGGAGGCAUAAUCCAAGUGAUGCCUAUCAUACCAGCUCCUAUUCCCUUGGUAGGAAUUUACUCACACAACCACCUCUAUUUUAGAGGGAAGCAGGGAGACUUAGUGUAACUGUAUGCCCAGAAAAGAAAGGUCAACUGAGGAUUUCAAGUAUCUACCAGUCUUAAGUGAAUAUAGAGAAUUCUAGGUGGAGAAAACUAAAGAAAACAGAGACAGAGGAACAAAGUAAGUGAAGGUUGCAGAGUACGGAAUGAAGGAGCUGGAAGUGGCAACGACAUUCUACACUAGAGGAGAGGAUGGGGUAGUUUCUCAAUGCAUGGAAAAUCUAUUCUCUCGGAAGACCUGGUGGUGCUGGAGGCUUGAAUUCUCUUCUGUCAGUAGCUACAGAAAAUCAAAGAAGGAAAUAUCAAACUGUGUUUUCAGGGCCACUGACUCUGUGACUUCCGCUGUCUGGCCUUCAUGAAGCCAGGCGGUCAAAUGGGACACACAGAAACUCGAAUCAGUGAGUCCUUCCUCCUGGCCUGAGGCCCCAGCUUGAUCCCACAACAGGGAAAAUUCUGGAGGUUUCUGUGUUGACCUGGGUGGUAGUUAUGCAGCGGUGUUCCCUUUGUGACAAUUCAUCAAACCAUUCACAUAAUGUGUUGCCUUUUCUGUAGGUAUUUUUUUCUUCAAUGAAUAGUUUAAUAAACACAAAAAAGAAAAUAUGGUCAUCUUAUCUUUG